rnacentral:rRNA from 1 species
UACGGAGGGUGCAAGCGUUAUCCGGAUUUACUGGGUUUAAAGGGUGCGUAGGCGGACUUUUAAGUCAGUGGUGAAAUCCCCGAGCUUAACUCGGAAACUGCCAUUGAUACUAUUAGUCUUGAAUUCGGUCGAGGUUGGCGGAAUGUGUCGUGUAGCGGUGAAAUGCUUAGAUAUGACACAGAACACCGAUUGCGAAGGCAGCUAGCUAGACCGACAUUGACGCUGAGGCACGAAAAGCGUGGGGAUCAAACAGG